UGAGGUAGCCAUAUUGAAUUGAUGGUAGAU
rnacentral:piRNA from 1 species